UGGGAAUCUUGGACAAUGGGCGCAAGCCCGAUCCAGCCAUGCCGCGUGAGUGAUGAAGGCCUUAGGGUUGUAAAACUCUUUCGCCGAGGACGAUAAUGACGGUACUCGGAGAAGAAGCUCCGGCUAACUUCGUGCCAGCAGCCGCGGUAAUACGAAGGGGGCUAGCGUUGUUCGGAUUUACUGGGCGUAAAGCGCGUGUAGGCGGGUCGUUAAGUUGGGGGUGAAAUCCCGAGGCUCAACCUCGGAACUGCCUUCAAAACUGGCGACCUGGAGCAAGAUAGAGGCAAGUGGAAUUGCGAGUGUAGAGGUGAAAUUCGUAGAUAUUCGCAGGAACACCAGUGGCGAAGACGACUUGCUGGAUCUUUGCUGACGCUGAGACGCGAAAGCGGUGGGGAGACAAACAGGAUUAGAUACCCGUGGUAGUCCGACGCUAGUAAACGAUGAGAGCUAGUUGUCGGCACGCAGUGCGUGUCGGUGACGC
rnacentral:rRNA from 1 species